GACGUAGGGUGCAAGCGUUGUCCGGAAUUAUUGGGCGUAAAGAGUUCGUAGGCGGUUACUUAAGUCUGGUGUUAAAGCCCGAUGCUCAACGUCGGCAUGGCAUUGGAAACUGGGUAGCUAGAGUGUGUCAGAGGUUACGGGAAUUCCUGGUGUAGCGGUGAAAUGCGUAGAUAUCAGGAGGAACACCAGUGGCGAAGGCGAUCAUCUGGGGUUGUUCUGACGCUGAGGAGCGAAAGCUAGGGGAGCAAACGGG
rnacentral:rRNA from 1 species